UAGAAAAGAGAAAGUGCUAGAGACAUGGCUU
rnacentral:piRNA from 1 species